UUUCGCAAUGCCCGAAAGGGUGACGAUGCGACGCCGCGUGGAGGAUAAAGGCCUUCGGGUUGUAAACUCCUGUCAGGGCAAAAGAAGGGGAGGGGAGGAAACUCCCUGACCUUGACUCAGCCCAAAGGAAGCCCCGGCUAACUCCGUGCCAGCAGCAGCGGUAAGACGGAGAGGGCGAGCGUUGUUCGGAAUUACUGGGCGUAAAGAGCGCGUAGGCGGGUCCGUAUGUCAGGGGUGAAAGCCCCCGGCCCAACCGGGGAAUUGCUUCUGAAACUGCGGUCCUCGAGUGGAGCAGGGGGGAGUGGAACUCUCGGUGGAGCGGUGAAAUGCGUUGAUAUCGAGGGGAACGUCGGCGGCGAAGGCGACUCCCUAUGCUUCUGCUGACGCUGAGGUGCGAAAGCCAGGGGAGCGAACGGGAUUAGAUACCCCGGUAGUCCUGGCCCUAAACGUUGGGCACUAAGUAGAGGGGUUUUAAUCUC
rnacentral:rRNA from 1 species